CCCUCCCUCUUUCCUCCUGCCUAACACAUGCAAGUCGAACGAGACCUUCGGGUCUAGUGGCGCACGGGUGCGUAACGCGCGGGAACCUGCCCUUAGGUUCGGAAUAACUCCCCGAAAGGGGUGCUAAUACCGGAUAAUGUCUUCGGGCCAAAGAUUUAUCGCCUUUGGAUGGGCCCGCGUUGGAUUAGCUAGUUGGUAGGGUAAAAGCCUACCAAGGCGACGAUCCAUAGCUGGUCUGAGAGGAUGAUCAGCCACACUGGGACUGAGACACGGCCCAGACUCCUACGGGAGGCAGCAGUGGGGAAUAUUGGACAAUGGGCGAAAGCCUGAUCCAGCAAUGCCGCGUGAGUGAUGAAGGCCUUAGGGUUGUAAAGCUCUUUUACCCGGGAUGAUAAUGACAGUACCGGGAGAAUAAGCUCCGGCUAACUCCGUG
rnacentral:rRNA from 1 species